rnacentral:rRNA from 1 species
AUGGCUGACAAGUGCGGCAACUGCGACUGCGCCGACAAGACCCAGUGCGUGAAGAAGGGCGACAGCUACGGCGUCGUCAUAGUUGACACCGAGAAGAGGCAAGUUAUCGAGGUGCAGGAGACCGCGGACAACGACGGCAAGUGCAAGUGCGGCACCAGCUGCACCUGCACCAACUGCACCUGCGGCCACUAA